rnacentral:rRNA from 1 species
AGCAUUCUCUGGUGUUGAAGGCCCUGCAAAGCAGCAUCGCGGUGGCGGAGCGUCGUUUGCGACGCCCAACACACAAAACAAGCGGUGAGUGCUUUGGGGUGGGGUGACUGCGUACCUUUUGUAUAAUGGGUCAGCGACUUAUAUUCUGUAGCAAGGUUAACCGAAUAGGGGAGCCGGAGGGAAACCGAGUCUUAAUUGGGCGUUAAGUUGCAGGGUAUAGACCCGAAACCCGGUGAUCUAGCCAUGGGCAGGUUGAAGGUUGGGUAACACUAACUGGAGGACCGAACCGACUAAUGUUGAAAAAUUAGCGGAUGACCUGUGGCUGGGGGUGAAAGGCCAAUCAAACCGGGAGAUAGCUGGUUCUCCCCGAAAGCUAUUUAGGUAGCGCCUCGUGAAUUCAUCUCCGGGGGUAGAGCACUGUUUCGGCUAGGGGGCCAUCCCGGCUUACCAACCCGAUGCAAACUGCGAAUACCGGAGAAUGUUAUCACGGGAGACACACGGCGGGUGCUAACGUCCGUCGUGAAGAGGGAAACAACCCAGACCGCCAGCUAAGGUCCCAAAGUCAUGGUUAAGUGGGAAACGAUGUGGGAAGGCCCAGACAGCCAGGAUGUUGGCUUAGAAGCAGCCAUCAUUUAAAGAAAGCGUAAUAGCUCACUGGUCGAGUCGGCCUGCGCGGAAGAUGUAACGGGGCUAAACCAUGCACCGAAGCUGCGGCAGCGACGCUUAUGCGUUGUUGGGUAGGGGAGCGUUCU